rnacentral:rRNA from 1 species
UCCAGACUCCUACGGGAGGCAGCAGUGGGGAAGAUGGGGCAAUGGGAGAAAGCCUGACAAAGCAACGCCGCGUGAAGGAAGAAGGCUUUAGGGUUGUAAAAUUCUUUUAAGAGGGAAGAGAAGAAGACGGUACCUCUUGAAUAAGCCACGGCUAACUACGUGCCAGCAGCCGCGGUAAUACGUAGGUGGCAAGCGUUGUCCGGAAUUACUGGGCGUAAAGGGCGCGUAGGUGGGCGCUUAAGUCAGGUGUGAAAACUCCGGGCUCAACCUGGAGACUGCACUUGAAACUGGGUGUCUUGAGGGCAGGAGAGGAAAGUGGAAUUCCUAGUGUAGCGGUGAAAUGCGUAGAUAUUAGGAGGAACACCAGUGGCGAAGGCGACUUUCUGGACUGUACCUGACGCUGAGGCGCGAAAGCGUGGGUAGCGAACGGGAUUAGAUACCCGUGUA